rnacentral:rRNA from 1 species
GGGAAUCUUGCACAAUGGAGGAAACUCUGAUGCAGCGACGCCGCGUGAGCGAUGAAGCCCCUCGGGGUGUAAAGCUCUUUCGGCAGGGACGAUAAUGACGGUACCUGAAGAAGAAGCUGCGGCUAACUACGUGCCAGCAGCCGCGGUAAUACGUAGGCAGCGAGCGUUGUUCGGAAUUACUGGGCGUAAAGAGUGUGUAGGCGGUGCUAUAAGUUCGGUGUGAAAUCUCCCGGCUCAACUGGGAGGGUGCGCCGAAAACUGUAGUGCUCGAACGUGGGAGAGGAAAGCGGAAUUCCUGGUGUAGCGGUGAAAUGCGUAGAUAUCAGGAGGAACACCUGUGGUGUAGACGGCUUUCUGGACCAUUGUUGACGCUGAGACACGAAAGCGUGGGUAGCAAA